ACUCUGAUACUCGGCGCACCACUCUGAUACUCGCGCGCACCACUCUGAUACUCGUACGCACCACUCUGAGAUUCGCACAGACAGCAGCAGGUUGCAGCAAAACGUUUCUUUCUACUGACUGGACUGGAGUUGACAAAAAUCCACCUGACUUCUAGAAGAAAAUGAAGAGAAAGUCAACAGACAUCUCUUCUUAUUUUAAGAAGAAGAUGAGUAAAGGAUAGACAGAGCUGGCAGGGGAGCAGCAGCAUAGGGCUGGUCCGCAGCUCCUUCAAAAUGAAACGAGAAUCUAUGCAGUUGUUCCUCUUCUGUGUUCUGAGGUUAUGAGCCGACCAUUAGUCAAGUUUGUUUCAUAAUGUUCUGUAUGCUAAGUUAAAAACAGGGUAACCAGUUUGUUUAUAAAGUAUAUACAUUUUCAAAACAAAUGGAAUACAAGCUAUAUGUACGCUCACCACAGUGGCCUAAUCUAAAAAAAUUGAAAUAUGUCUCGUCACCUAUUUUCUGUCUAACUAAAAGGUGGUGUUUUGUAUCAUUUAUAAUGUUUUGAAUUUGCUAUAAAGUUCAAUAAUAGAUGGUGUUUUUGUGUUCAAUCACAGUAUGUAUUUACCAUUUUAUACCCCUUGUGUUUUUGGGUCCUGUUGAAAUAAAAUAUUGUCAUGUUUUAAAACUUGAUUUAAUGAAGUAAUGUCAAUCAUCUUUGAUCCCAGUGUGACAAACAGCUUUGUUCAGUCUAAAACAAUA